rnacentral:rRNA from 1 species
AGGGGCAACUCUGCGAGUACAGCGGCGCACGGGUGAGUAACACGUAGGUAACCUGCCUUCGAGACUGGAAUAACCUGUCGAAAGACGGGCUAAUACCGGAUAAGACCACGGGAGUUGCGGCUCCAGGGGUAAAAGGUGGCCUCUGCUUGCAAGCUACCACUCGGAGAUGGGCCUGCGCGCCAUUAGCUUGUUGGCGGGGUAACGGCCCACCAAGGCAAAGAUGGUUAGCUGGUCUGAGAGGAUGGCCAGCCACACUGGGACUGAGACACGGCCCAGACUCCUACGGGAGGCAGCAGUGGGGAAUAUUGCGCAAUGGGCGAAAGCCUGACGCAGCGACGCCGCGUGGGUGAUGAAGGCCUUCGGG